AUAUAUAUAUAUAGUCUUAGAAACAAUAAGCAAGAUUAGUCUCGUGUUUAUUCAAUAGGUAAGAUUAAUCUCUUGUUUGAUGGUGGGUUCCCAGAAAAAGAAUGUUCUGCCGGCAUGCCGAUGGAAUGCAAUAUGUAAACUGUGCAUGGCGAAUAUGUUGGCAGCACACAUAAUUCCAUAUCGAUGAAACGAUCUGUCACUUUGUGUGCAUGUCUUGUACAAUUGAUUGCCGCAGAAGCGAAGGGCAGUUGUCGACAUGCGUCCCAGACACAGUUGUUUCCGCCACGCCGCCGUCUUCCAAUAAUGUUGCCACCUCCAAGAACAGUCCUGAUGAUGCUUCACCCCAUGAAAGGCCUCUGCUUACUAUAUGGAUGUUGUAUGGAAUCUAACAAGAAGAAAAAUCAAACUCAUCCAUAGAGAAGAUAGAAGAAGAAGAAGAAGAUAAGAACGAUAGAUUGCUACCUCGAGGAACAGUAAAAGUGGUCAGGAAUAGUGGUCAAAACUAAGAGUCUCAUAAGAAUUUUAGGGAUGAAAUGACCUAUGGUAUUGUUUUUGUUUGUGUUAACAGAAUAUUAUUUUUCUUAUUUUUCAAAAAUAAAGUAACGAGAAAUUUUCUUAAAGCAAACAUAAUAAUAAAUGCAAUAAAAAAAGGAGAGAGAGAGAGAGAGAGAGAGAGAGAGAGAGAGAGCGAUAGAGAGAGAGAGAGAUAGAGAGAGAAGAAGAAUAAGAAGAAGCACAGUUAUUAGACAUGACUCUGGUCAUAUAAUAAUGGAUAGAGAGGAGGCCAGAAACCAGAGGAGUGGUUCGCGUUUAAUCCCAUGUUUCUUCGGGGAAGGAGGGGGAGGAGUAGGAGGGUGGGCGAAGCAUGGAGACAGGGAAGGGCCAAAACAGAGGGACGUGCUGCCAUGAUGCUGAUGGUACGUAGACACAUCCUCUUAUUUGGACGCAUAUCUCGCAUCCGCGACAAGUAAUUACUCCUCCCCGCCCC
rnacentral:lncRNA from 1 species